AUCUUCACUCACUGUUCUUGCAACAAACUGCAAUGAAAAACAUAAUGGAUUGUGAAAGGACUUCUCUUUACAUAGGAAGCUGGUGUAAAAAUCCUGUGUUGCAACAGAAUUACUUUCCUUUUUUGCUUUGCUUACUGUAUUUGGCUGCUUCCUGUAGACCAUCAGGCUUAUGAAAAGGCAAAUUUUUAUCUGAAGUGAGGCCAUGAAACCAUAAUGUACAUCAAGUAUUUUGUUGUCAAAACCAGUCGCAAGCUCUUUAACUAUUUACCCUAGCUUUGUUUGUAUAGCUCGGUAACGUUGUCUGAAUCUCAUUGAAUAUCCCGUGAUGUCUAACUAUCAGCUAAUGCUACCAUAUAAAUAGACAAAUUCUGAUGUGUUUUACUCUGAGGUUAAGCGUGGUGAGAGCAAAACUGUAGGGAAUCUGGCGGUGACAAAGUGUUUUGAAACUGAUAGUAUACAAAGUGAACAUCUUGCAUUAAAAACAAACCAAAAAAUGGUUCCAGUGAUUAUUAGCCCCUUUUCGUGUGGAAACAGGUCACAGGUGAUGCUAUUUAAGAGAAUUUCCCUUAGCUUUUAAGCUUUUAACCUGCUAGUUGAAUUUCCAUUAUUCUUCACAGUUAGCUAGAGAGCUCAAAAGUAGUUAACUCAAAAGAGAGAGGUACUGUCUUGGACCUCUCACUAAGUUUAGUCUCUAUUCUCCAAAUCAGGCAGUAACAAUUCCCAUCCAGUGCUUCGUUCUUAUCUUUAGCCAUCGCUUUACUGCCAUCUGCAGCGAUGUGGAACCAUUCCUGAGCACUUCUAGGACCUCUCUGCGGGAUUCACUGCUUUGCUUACUUAUUCUUCUGCCUACAAAGGAAGAGAGACUUGUGUACCGUUAGACUCCAGUGGACUACUAACUUCCCAUCUGCUACAAAGCUAGUACCAUAGAUGAGAGACCACCACACUGCUGCGUGUUUGAAGGUAGGCUGUAGACAAACCUGAUAAGGCCCCCGUGAAAGAUUACCAAAUGCAGCAAACCAGGCUUUAAGCAAUAAGAUUUUAUUCCGUUGGUAUCUAAACAAAAACCUGAGGUACAGUACAGAAGUGUGGUAUGUAUGGCUAAAAAAAAAAAAAAAAA